CGGAGGCCCCUGUGCCGCUUCCCCCCUGAGCCGCUGCUCCAGCACCGGGAUGAGCUGGGGCUGCAGAUGCCGGAGCACCGGGACCCUGCCAGCGCGAUGCCUGCGGCCAUAGGGGGUCUGACUGCAAGCCGAGCUUACGGGAACUCACUGACCGCAGCACCCCUCCUUUGGAGAGCCACAACCCCAAAAGCUUCCUCCCGUCCCUGACUGCUGAGGAUGACUCCUUCUGCACCAGCAUGGCUGAGGAAAAGGAGGAUUCCUCAUCCACGGAGCUGGAUGUCCCAGCAGGGGACGUGCACAGCAGCACUGAGGAUCUGCUCUCGGACUCGGCGCUCCAUGGCACAGAGUAUUACAGAGACCUGGGAUUGCUGAGCCUGCCGAUGGCCAGCACAGCACCAGCGGCAGCAGCACAGCCUGAACAAGCAGCUCAGGCUGUGUCUGCCCUUGGAGACAGAGCAGGGGCUCUGGGCACGAUGUCCGUGGAUGUUGCUUAUUCCAACCCCAUUUCCUGCUCCGUGCGUUACGGUGAGGAUGACUGCGGCUUCCUCAGCCAAGGCCACCCCUGCUCCUGUGCAGAUGAUGGUACCAGCAC
rnacentral:lncRNA from 14 species